CGCGGAGUCAUCCCUUCCAGGAGAGGUUCCCGGGCAAGAGAGCACUGCGGUUCCUGCCCUAAGUCCCUGGCACCUCAUCAAAUGCCAGCUCACCUUCCAGCUAUGCACUCCCUCCCGGCCAUCUCCUGUUUUGGUGUCCUCUGGGCUGCCCCUCCGGGUGUCCAUGAGUCACAGAGCCGCUCCAGAAACUCCUGGUCCCUCUCCGGGCUGAGAAGAGAAUUCCGUUCACAGCAAACAAAUUCCGGGGAAGCGGGAGCCCCAGCGGUUGACAACGCAUACAAAUGAUUGCAGUUUGACGUCCCUGCUGGAGUGUGACCAUUGUGACCCUCACUGCUGGUCGUGCCUUUCACACGUAAGGGUGAAUUUGUCCCAGACCAAUUCGCUGAACGAGUUUCUCUGUGGGACCUGGCGGUGGGCCUGUGGGAUAGAUCACCCUCCCUGGAGGGGCACCAAGGCUGUAGGGACCCCACUCGGCCCCCUUAUUCUGGAUCAUCUCCCUGAGGUACCACAGAUAAGUCCCGAAGAUCCCCCUUUCCCAGAGAGCAUUUUCCUGGAACGCUAAUG